UACACUCCUGCGGGAGGCAGCAGUAGGGAAUCUUCCCCAAUGGGUGCAAACCUGAUGGAGCAAUGCCGCGUGAGUGAAGAAGGUCUUCGGAUCGUAAAGCUCUGUUGUUAGAGAAGAACACGUGCUAGGUAACUACUAGCGCCUUGACGGUAUCUAACCAGAAAGUCACGGCUAACUACGUGCCAGCAGCCGCGGUAAUACGUAGGUGACAAGCGUUGUCCGGAUUUAUUGGGCGUAAAGGGAGCGCAGGCGGUCUGUUUAGUCUAAUGUGAAAGCCCACGGCUUAACCGUGGAACGGCAUUGGAAACUGACAGACUUGAAUGUAGAAGAGGAAAAUGGAAUUCCAAGUGUAGCGGUGGAAUGCGUAGAUAUUUGGAGGAACACCAGUGGCGAAGGCGAUUUUCUGGUCUAACAUUGACGCUGAGGCUCGAAAGCGUGGGGAGCGAACAGGAUUAGAUACCCCUGUAGUCCCA
rnacentral:rRNA from 1 species